GGUGAGGUGGCCGAGCGGUCUAAGGCGCAAGAUUCAGGUUUCUCUGAGUUUUCUUGUCUGUAACAGGGCGUGGGUUCGAAUCCCACCCUCAUCA
rnacentral:tRNA from 1 species